rnacentral:rRNA from 1 species
UACGUAGGGGGCAAGCGUUGUCCGGAAUCAUUGGGCGUAAAGCGCGUGUAGGCGGUCUUCUAAGUCUGAUGUGAAAGCCCUGGGCUCAACCCAGGAAGUGCAUUGGAUACUGGAAGACUUGAAUACGGGAGAGGGUAGUGGAAUUCCUAGUGUAGGAGUGAAAUCCGUAGAUAUUAGGAGGAACACCGGUGGCGAAGGCGGCUACCUGGACCGAUAUUGACGCUGAGACGCGAAAGCGUGGGGAGCAAACAGG